rnacentral:misc_RNA from 1 species
AAGUCGUAACAAGGUUUCCGUAGGUGAACCUGCGGAAGGAUCAUUAACGAGUAACUGCGCAGGUUGUCGCUGGCCUCUCGGGGCAUGUGCACGCCUGGCUCAAUCCACUCUUUAACCUCUGUGCACCUGUUGUAGGUCGGUGGAAAAGAGGUACGAGCGCAAGCUUGUACUUGUUGGAAGCCUUCCUAUGUUUUAUUACAAACGCUUCAGUUUAAGAAUGUCAUCUCUGCGUAUAACGCAAUUAUAUACAACUUUCAGCAACGGAUCUCUUGGCUCUC